UCGAGGUAAAAUAGUGAGUUGCUGACUUGGGGAAGUGAUCGACCCUUGGGAUAAGUUUAAAACUGCUUUUUUUAACCCCAGAAACUUUUUACCGUGGGUAAAAAGAACUUCUUGGGGUAAAAAAAACCAUAUUUAAAUUUAGCCCAAGGGUUUAUGAUGUAUUUUCCCCAAGAAGGCUGCUCACUAUUUUACCCCAU
rnacentral:pre_miRNA from 1 species